rnacentral:rRNA from 1 species
UUNUGAACUGGGUGACUAGAGUGUGUCAGAGGGAGGUAGAAUUCCACGUGUAGCAGUGAAAUGCGUAGAGAUGUGGAGGAAUACCGAUGGCGAAGGCAGCCUCCUGGGAUAACACUGACGUUCAUGCCCGAAAGCGUGGGUAGCAAACAGGAUUAGAUACCCUGGUAGUCCACGCCCUAAACGAUGUCGAUUAGCUGUUGGGCAGCAUGACUGCUUUGUAGCGAAGCUAACGCGUGAAAUCGACCGCCUGGGGAGUACGGUCGCAAGAUUAAAGCUCAAAGGAAUUGACGGGGACCCGCACAAGCGGUGGAUGAUGUGGAUUAAUUCGAUGCAACGCGAAGAACCUUACCUGGUCUUGACAUGUACGGAACCCUCCAGAGACGGAGGGGUGCCUUCGGGAGCCGUAACACAGGUGCUGCAUGGCUGUCGUCAGCUCGUGUCGUGAGAUGUUGGGUUAAGUCCCGCAACGAGCGCAACCCUUGUCAUUAGUUGCCAUCAUUAAGUUGGGCACUCUAAUGAGACUGCCGGCGACAAGCCGGAGGAAGGUGGGGAUGACGUCAAGUCCUCAUGGCCCUUAUGACCAGGGCUUCACGCGUCAUACAAUGGUCGGUACAGAGGGUAGCCAAGCCGCGAGGUGGAGCCAAUCUCACAAAACCGAUCGUAGUCCGGAUUGCACUCUGCAACUCGAGUGCAUGAAGUCGGAAUCGCUAGUAAUCGCAGGUCAGCAUACUGCGGUGAAUACGUUCCCGGGUCUUGUACACACCGCCCGUCACACCAUGGGAGUGGGGGAUACCAGAAGU